GAAAAGAAAUCAACCGAGAUUCCCUCAGUAGCGGCGAGCGAACGGGGACCAGCCCUUAAGCUGGACAACUGGUAGGAGAAGGCCCUGGAAAGAGCCGCCAUAGUGGGUGAUAGCCCCGUAUCCGAAACCUGAGUCCAGUGAAAUCGAGUAGGACGGGACACGAGACAUCCUGUCUGAACAUGGGGGGACCAUCCUCCAAGGCU
rnacentral:rRNA from 2 species